UGCAAUAAAUAUGAGAGAUAUUUUUUCCUACACAAAAAGGAAAAAAAAAUAUUUCUCAUAUUUAUUGCUA
rnacentral:tRNA from 1 species